GCGAGGUGCAGGGUGUUAUCUCUCUCUGCUGUGCAAGAGAGAACACGCAUUUUUACUCCUCAGGCUCUCAUCAUUUUUCCAGAGUCUCGUAGCCAAGAGUGGAGGAGCCGUUCCCACAUCGCCCCGGCCAGGAGCGACGUUUCCCUUGGGUGAUGGAUGGGAACAGCUCCCUGACGAGGACGGCUUUGCCCUGCGUGCCCGCCUGUCCCGGGCUCAGCACCGGGGGCGGUCGAUCCUUGCCCCGUGCUGCCACCACGACAUAUUUACCCUGCUUAUCUCGCCGCUAUCAAAACCCAGCUUCAGCAGGAGCAGUGUCACCCUGCCUUCAAAGGGAGAGCGCCAGGCAGCGCGUUUCCCCGUGGCGUUGGUGUGGCCUACAUUUUUGCCCGGUUAAUUUAACGAGGGGCUGGCUGCAUCACGCCCCGGCCAGCCCUCCUCCCUCUCCCCGCAGCGGCCGGGCCGGGCCGGCCGAUUACUGCAAGCAUCCCUCCGCUGAUGUGCAAUUACAGCUCGCUUGGUCUCGAAAUCCCGGCUAAAUCCGCAUGGCCACGGCGUGACUCACGGGACGGCUGCUCCCCUAAUGGAUCCUGGCUGCAUUCCUGCCAGGCUGGACGUAAGGCGAACGUGCCACUUACUAACCACCCUCUUCCAUCUUCGUCAGCGCGACGGGUCGAGCCUGUUUCUUCCCCUGCCCCUCCUCUGCUGGGGCAGGGAUGGCUGGAGCCAGCCCUAAAUGCUGCAAUUUGCCAGCGUGAGCAUCCAGGGCGUAAUUCCCCUUAGCAGAGGGGUUUUCUCGCUGCUGAGCCAGGAUUCAGGGAGCAGCUCUGCCCCGGGAAAGGAGAAUCGCCUGCCCGGGUGUCUUGUAGCAGGCCAGCAGCUGCUGUGGGGUAAAACAUAAAGGUCUGCACCAGGGUUUCUCUUCCAUGGAGCCAUCCACAGGCACCACAACGUCCUGAAAGCAGCGUGGCUGGGAUGAAGGAGGGGAAAGUAGUGAUGGGGACAGAGAGAGCCUCUGCACCCCACGGAGCAGUGACCAGCCUGUGCUGGGGACACUGCUGAGCCUACAGGACCCCACAGCUCGGCCUCACACCAGGGUCUGUCCCGUGCCAAGCAGCGAUGCUCCCCUGCCAGCUGCCUGGAGGGUUUGCCAGGACGGGGAGGAUGCUGAGACACCCAAAGGGCUCACACUGCACGAGAGCACCGUGCCACUGCUCACCCACCCUACGGAGGAAUCAGCCCUUCGCAGGCUGCCUGGUUCUCCCCUGUGGGUGCACCUCGCAGAGCCUCCAGGAAGGAUCAAGGAGUCUGCUUAGGUUGGAGCAGCCGUGUGAGGGCUGGAUUUCAAGCUGCAAUAUCAACCGAGAGGGUAAUUAGCAGUGGGGGGCAUUAAAGGAUGCCCCAAACCGCAGCUGUAGCCUGUGGGUGUCCGAAUUGCUGGCUCAGCUGGCCGUGUUCCUGGAGGAAUGGGGUGCCCGGGGUGCCAUACACGAGGUUUUGGGCAUCGCGAAGGGACGCAGAGGAUGAACCAUCCUGGCAGGCGUUGCCUCUCCAGCCACCCAGCGAGGCUGGAGGGGAGGUGGCUGCCACCAACCCGUGGCUGUCCCAGGGCCCAGCGAUCCGGCACGGGGACGGCCGGGGGGGAGCAGCACCCUCCCAAACCAGCCCGGGCAGCCCGGGGAGUCCCCACGCCGUGUGUCACGCCUUUAAUUGUCCCCUGGCAGGAGAUGGGCUGGAAAAAAAGGAGGUAAUGAGGAGCUGGGAGCUUUGUGAUAUCCAUCUGCCCCUCUCCAGACGUGGCUCCGGGAAGCCGUGCCGGGCGGGUGAGGGAAGGACACGGCUGCCCCUGCACCCUGUGCCGUGCUCCAGCCCGCUCCUACCCCUAACCCAGCCUCUCCCCUCCCACGUAGGGGGCUCAGCUCUCCAACUGCACCCAUGCUGGGCCACACCAGGACAAGCGCACGGGCUGCAUCCUUGUAGGGUUUUUCAGCAGCUCCAGCUCUGAGCAGGGAUGCUCGGAGGCUGCGCUUAGCUCCCCAGUGCUGUCCAUGGGCACCUCGCUGCUUUCUGGGGCUCCACAACCCCUCGAGAUGCUGCUAGCACAGAGCUCUGGGUUCUCACCUCUCGCAGCACCAGGAAAACCCCAAACCUGGAAAGCAGCAGCGAUAAGGGGCCGGCAGGAGCGGCCGCAGGAGCGGCAGUGUUUGCUCCCAGCGGCGCUGUUUGGAUUUCUCCUCGGCCAGCCCCAGCUGGAGCAGAGCUUGACAGCAGGUAAUAA